CGUGAAGGAACAACAAUAGUAAAAUAAAUAAAUAAAUGGAUGUAACUCCGCGUGAAACUCGAGUUCCAGUUCCUCCUGCACUGCCCUCUCCUCUUUCUUGCUGUUCUUCCUUCUUCUUUUUCUUUCUUAAGACCCAAUUCAAACAUUUGGAAAAUACCUAAAACCCGAAGGCUUGGGAAUCCCAUUUUCUUUCUUAAGACCCAUAUCAAAAUUUUAGAUAAUACCCAAAAUCCCAAAGGAUCGGAUUUCUGCAAAUCUGGUUGAGAGAGAGAGAGAGUGAGUGAGAAUCCGAGGUGGAGAAGUUCAGUCCGAACCGUUGUUUCACCGCCUGGGUUGCUUCGUUGUUGCUUCUCUGGUUUGCUGGGUUUUGCAUCAUUGAUUCUCUGCUGGGCUGCUUCUUUCUUCUUCGUUGUUGAUCUCUGCGUUGUUUCUUUUUAUUUUCUUUGUUGCUGCUGUUGCUGUUGCUUCUUUCUUCUUCAUUGUUGAUCUUGCGUUGGUGUUAGAGGUUGGAAUAUCAGAAGCAAAUUGGGGGGCAUGAAGCGGCAGAGAAGAGAAAUGGAGGAUGAGAGGGGGAGGAGAGAGCGGCAGAGAAUUGAGAGAGCAGAAAGGAGAGAGCGGCGGAGUUCCCUUUCCCUUUCAUCACCUGACAUUAUUAGCACUCUACCAGACUUUUUCCUCUGCCACAUCCUCUCCUUUCUCCCAAUCCGAGACUACGUUGCAACAAGCAUUUUGUCAAGAAACUGGAAGCGUGUCUCCACUCUCGUCCCAUCCCACAUCGCCUCUCAUCACCUGCCAACGGCCCUAGUCAUGACCUUCAAUCAGGGUUCUACUGUCAACACCAUGGAUUUUCAUCCACUCCAACAUUUUUUGCUUCUUGCCGGAACAAAUACUGGCGAUAUCACAAUUUGGGAAGUAGGUACGAGGCAGAGGCUUGUUUCUCGAAACUUCAACGUUUGGGACAUUAACGCGUGUUCAAUGACCUUGCAGACUGUGUUGGCCAAUGAUUAUACUGCUUCUGUAAACCGUGUGAUCUGGAGUCCUGAUGGUGCCCUUUUUGGGGUUGCAUUUUCAAAACAUAUAGUGCAGAUAUAUUCCUAUCAUGGUGGUGAUGAUUUGCGGAAACGCAUGGAGAUUGACGCUCAUCUUGAAAUGGUUAAUGAUCUUGCCUUUUCAAAUCAAAACAGACAACUAUCCAUCAUAAGUUGCGGAGAGGACAGGACUAUCAAGGUGUGGGAUGCUGUCACUGGUAAUAAGCUGUACACGUCUGAAGGGCAUGACGCACCAGUUUAUUCUGUGUGCCCUCAUCCUAAGGGAAACAUUCCGUUCAUCAUUUCAGUGGAUAUUGAUGGGAAAAUUAAGACUUGGUCAUACGAUAACUGCUGUUCAAGAGUUGACUAUGUUGCUUGGGGCCAAUCUUGCAUGAGAAUGGCCUACAGUGCUGAGGGGACACGGCUAUUCAUAUGUGGGACUAGUAGAGGAGGAGAAUCAUACCUUGUGGAAUGGAAUAAAUGUAAGGAGGCUAUCAAGCGUGUAUAUCAUGGUCUUUGGAAGCAAUCUGUGGGGGUUGUGCAAUUUGAUACAAUGAAAAGCCAGUUCCUGGCUACUGGUGAUGAGUCUCAAAUAAAAUUUUGGGACAUGGACAAAGGUAACAUCUUGACAACUACUGCUGCAGAGGAUGGAUUACCGGUUUCUCCUUGCAUUCGAUUUAACAAGGAAGGGGUACUUCUUGCUGUAUCAACAAGUCAGAAAGGAAUCAAAAUACUUGCAAAUGCUGAUGGUGUACGACUUCUGCAUUCUAUUGAAAAUACCUUUAGAGUGGCUCCUACAACUAUUGCGAGGGUUCUAGUUUCUUAUAGCAGAAGUUUUCCAGAUACAAAACCUGAUGAAGUGGAGAAAUCUAAGGCUUGGAAGCUGACUGAAUUCAAUGAACCAUCUCAACUUUGUUCACUGCAGCUUCCUGACUGCCUCUGGCCUGUACAGGCUUUUGGUAUUCAUUGGGUUAUGCCUGGAUCGGUGGCAGGAUUAUUAUCUUGCUGGCAUCAGUGGAUUGGGAAGCAUAACUUGAAUAUUUGGAAUUUGAUUCCAGGGUGCUAAAUGUGAAUGGUUUGGUUGGAACGAAAUUGUCGCUCCUUUGAGAACAUGGAGAAGAUGUUGGAUGAGUUAAAGGUUUUAUGCCAGUACAGUCUUUUUGAGUGGUCUCGCUAUUGGGGCUUUACUGAUUCUUUGUCUCUUUAAGAGUUUAUGUUUUCCCUUAGAUUAUCUUUCUGAUUUUCCUAUCUUUUGUUUUGCUGUUCGGUUCAUCUGUUUCUUGUUGUUCAUCAUCAUGAACAACUUGUACUUUUCAUUUUUCCUCAUUAAUAAUAUUUCUCUGAUUACCUAUCAAAAAAAGAAAAAAAUCGAUGCAUACAUGACUGCUUAUUGCUACAAGUUCGAGUCCAUUUUGUUAAGGUCAUUAUGGAUUUCCUUUGUGUUGUAGUUUUUAUGUUAUAGUGAUUUGAUGAAAUAUCUUCUUGGCUAGAUUAGUAUGGUACUGUUAGUGUCACAACAAAUCAUAUGCAGUUGAGGGCGUAUCCAUCUCUUGGAAAAUAGUGUCAUAUCGAGUACAACUACCCCCAAACUUAUGUUUUGCUUGUCAAGACAUAGACCAAGUUGUUAGACUGUGAGCUAUACCACUUUGCCUCAAAACCAGUUGGAAUUCGGAAUUGUGCCCUAUGGGCAUGUAUGUUUUUAGAGUGGUCACAAGGAGCCAAAUUGUGGUCCCCUCAACAAUCCCCCCACAUGAUGACACUCUCGUGACUCAAACCAUGACCUUGGUACCACUUGUCAGACCGUUGUGCUACUUAGCCUCAAAACCGAUUGGUAAUAAGGGAGACACACUCAAGCCAUUUAUGGCAAUUCGAAAUCGUAUCCUGCGGGCUUGGUUUUAGAGUGAUAGUAGGGUGCCAAAUUGAGGUCCCCCCAACACAAGUUAUUUAAUAUAUCCAUUUUCCAUGCUUUGAUGAAAACUUCAUGGAAAUUCUGUGGUUCCAGGGCACUGCUGCUAUUCAUGAACCAGUGCGAUAUUUGUCAUGCCUUGUUUGUAGAUUGUUACUGAGAACUUCAGGAAAUUAAGUGGUGUCUAACCACAUAGUUGCAGGCACUGUGCCUCAAAUGCCCUCAGAGCCUUGUUAGUGUUCUCAUCAUCCUACUGUUGCUGUACAAUGCAUAUUAUUUUAUUCUAUUUAUAUGUAUGUCUGGAAAUGCUAUGCUACAUGGUUAUUUUGACAUAAGUUUGCUUUAGAUUGAAUGCAACCAUUUAGCCUUUUUUAUUUAUAAGCUUCUUGACUGUUAUGCAAAAAAUAAAACUAUGCUAGAUUGGAAGCAUUGGAUUAUUGGAAGAUGUUAUGAUUUUAAAUUGUCAUACUUUUGAUGUAAGAUCAAUGAUAGAGAUGCUAAUUGUUAUGAAUGAGUAUUAAGCUAAGGGCAAAAGAUUAUAUUAUUGUAAUCCUCUAUAUAUAAAUAAUAUUUUGUGUUAGGGUAAUUAACUUAACAGAUAUCCUAAAACAUAUGUUUUUACCAAAACAACAUGGUAUAAGAGCACUAAGUUAAUCUCCUGCCACCAACAUCGGAAUCCAUCACCGACGACCACCCAGAAUGAGUCUCCUGAAGCCGGAGACCUCCUAAAUAGAGUUGCUGGCUCUAGCAACCAGUCGAAUCGAGUCUUCUGAGUUAGAAGAUGACAUUACGCGGCAGAAUCUCGAAGCUAGUCUCACCACAGCAGCCCAUACUUGUGUCUAGCCUCCUAGUGCUGUUGACCUUGUUUUCCGGUGCUAAUUGUAUGACAGGUCUCGUCCUUGUUUUCCGAUGCUAAUUGUCCUGUAGUUGGGAGCUCAUUGAUAAUUUAUGCUGGUUGGGUUUGAGAAGUUUUUGGUCGUGUUCAAUAUGUAUGUGGUUUUUUGGUGCUAUGUUCAUCUAGUUUGUGUAUGAGAUUUUUUUUUAGUUGUAAUCCAAGUGUUAUGUGGUUUAUUAUUGUUGGGUUUUGUGUGGAUUGAAACUUUGCUUAAUACUGGUUCUAUUGGGGCCAUUUAUUAUUUUCAGUCUCUUGUGGUUAUUUUCAAGCAAAAAAAAAAAAAAAAAAAAAAGUCUUUUGUGGUUAAUGUUGAUCAUGGAAUCGAACAAAGGCAUCCAACCCAAUUUUUUAGUAUCAGGAUGUACUUUCCAUCACUUCAGUUUGUUUCAAUGAAAACAAUUAUGCCUAGUGGACCCAAGCAGUUGAUGUAUUUUGACUGACGAAUUAAAAGAAACUAGUAACAAGAGAAGAGAGGAAUAAAAUAAUUGUAUUAGUGCUUGCCUAUUCCAUUGUGUACGACUCUGAUUAAAUACAGCAACCCUACAACUUAUAAUAGGAAUACAAUAGCAGAAAUAGGAAAUCAAAUAAUCUCUAAUUACUCAGUUUCCUUCUCUGAAUAUUUCCUUCUCCUUCACGCCCAAGAUUAUACCAUGUAUAGCUUUCCACACAUACCAUUCAUAGAAUCUGUCAACACUCCCCCUCAUGCUGAGGCAUAGAUAUCUCUCAUGCCCAGCUUGUCCAUAAUUUUGUGGAAGUGAUUAGUUGCUACCCCCUUUGUAAAGAUGUUUGCAAGUUGAUCUCCAGUUCUUACAUAUGGAGUACAAAUGAUGCCUUUAUGCAGUUUCUCCUUGAUAAAGUGUCUAUCAAUUUCAUUGUGUUUUGUCCAAUCGUGUAGAACUGGGUUAUGAGCCAUAUUAAUUGCUGCUUUAUUGUCACAAAACAGUUUGAUGGGAUCCUUACUGUCAUAUCCAAGCUCCCUCAAUAGUAUCUUCAUCCAUAAUAUCUCACAUAUCCCAUGGGCCAUUGCUCUAAACUCAGCCUUUGCACUAGAUCUUGCAACCACUGAUUCUUUCUUACUCUGCCAAUCAAGUUAUCUCUAACAAAUAGACAAUAUCCAGAGGUGGAGCGUCAGUCUAUGAUUGAACCUGCCCAAUCAGCAUCUCUAUAGGCUUCUAUCUUCAAGUGAUCAUGUUGAGCAAAUAGUACUCCUUUACCCGAUUAUUGGGUUGACGUAUACACACUUGGGAGGUCAAAUUUUGGCAUUAGCAUCCAAUGCUGUACACAAACUUUGGAAAUGGCAGACAAGUGAUGGGAAGGCAACUUCUAGUGUGCCACCACAAUUGUGGCAACCGCCCAGUGGAAUAUUAAUGACCAAUGAUAUAAGUGACACACAUCUUGAACGUGCUGUUCCAUGUUUUGCUCUUUCGAAGAAUGAUUCU